GCCCGGAAGCCUGCCCCCAAUCCCUCCCCCACCUCAGGGAUGGUAAUGUAGACCCGCAGCUCACUUUGUUGGGUUAGGCAGCAGUCGGAUCUAUUCAUCAAGCUGCUAACGGAUGUGGGAGACAUCAAUUCCUUGGCCAGGGAUUAGAUCCAAGGCAUCUAUUGGGCUAGGAGAAGAGGGGGGCGGAUCACACAGAUACCACAGAGAGAAGUGGUAGUUCUUCAUAGCGGAGCAAUGCAGCGUGAGUAAACUUGCGAUAGGAUGGAGAGUGUUUGCCAGGUGGCUGCAGAGAUCUCUGGGAAGCAGAGAUGCCAGGAUUCUUCCUGUUGAAUCUGGCAAAAUUGGACAUUCCGAAGAUGGCAUAGAUAAACAUGACCAAAAACAGCAAGAGCCCAAUGUUAAACAGAGCAGGGAGGGACAUCAUCAAAGCAAAAAGCAGUGUACGAAUUCCUUUCGCCCCUUUAAUGAGACGAAGUAUUCGGCCAAUCCUGGCAAGCCGGAUCACACGAAACAGGGCUAAGAGUUCUAAGUUUUCCCUUGUCUCUAGAAUUGCAAUUCUAACAUUCCCUCUCUGAGUCUCAAUCAAUACAAAUUGCAAAACUGAGCUACUUUAGAGAAAACUGAGCCUUGCAUUUUCAUGGACUUCCACUGCAUGACUUCACUGGCAAUAUUAUGGCCAGAAGUUUACAAUGUUCACUAUUGGAUGAAAAAAUGAUCCACAUAAAAGGAACCACAGAUUCUGGACAUAUAAUGUUGAUUAAUGAUCAAUAACAGUACCAUGGAUAUAACCUCCUAAAGCUGAAGAGACAUUGAAGGUCAUUUAAUGUGACCCUUCUCUCAAUGCAAGAAUCCACUCUACUGGAUACCUGAAUGAUAGUAAUCCAGCCACUUCUUGUUCAUCACCAAAAAUAUAAUUAUAUUUAUUUUGCUAUACAUAUUAAAAAAAACACAUUCAUUCA